UUGUGAGCUCGAUGAGUAGGGCGGGACACGUGGUAUCCUGUCUGAAUAUGGGGGGACCAUCCUCCAAGGCUAAAUACUCCUGACUGACCGAUAGUGAACCAGUACCGUGAGGGAAAGGCGAAAAGAACCCCGGCGAGGGGAGUGAAAAAGAACCUGAAACCGUGUACGUACAAGCAGUGGGAGCCUCUUAAUGGGGUGACUGCGUACCUUUUGUAUAAUGGGUCAGCGACUUAUAUUCUGUAGCAAGGUUAACCGAAUAGGGGAGCCGAAGGGAAACCGAGUCUUAACUGGGCGUUAAGUUGCAGGGUAUAGACCCGAAACCCGGUGAUCUAGCCAUGGGCAGGUUGAAGGUUGGGUAACACUAACUGGAGGACCGAACCGACUAAUGUUGAAAAAUUAGCGGAUGACUUGUGGCUGGGGGUGAAAGGCCAAUCAAACCGGGAGAUAGCUGGUUCUCCCCGAAAGCUAUUUAGGUAGCGCCUCGUGAAUUCAUCUCCGGGGGUAGAGCACUGUUUCGGCAAGGGGGUCAUCCCGACUUACCAACCCGAUGCAAACUGCGAAUACCGGAGAAUGUUAUCACGGGAGACACACGGCGGGUGCUAACGUCCGUCGUGAAGAGGGAAACAACCCAGACCGCCAGCUAAGGUCCCAAAGUCAUGGUUAAGUGGGAAACGAUGUGGGAAGGCCCAGACAGCCAGGAUGUUGGCUUAGAAGCAGCCAUCAUUUAAAGAAAGCGUAAUAGCUCACUGGUCGAGUCGGCCUGCGCGGAAGAUGUAACGGGGCUAAACCAUGCACCGAAGCUGCGGCAGCGACACU
rnacentral:rRNA from 1 species